GACAGGUGCUGCAUGGCUGUCGUCAGCUCGUGUUGUGAAAUGUUGGGUUAAGUCUCGCAACGAGCGCAACCCCUAUCUUUAGUUGCCAGCAUUAAGUUGGGCACUCUAGAGAGACUGCCCGGGUUAACCGGGAGGAAGGUGGGGAUGACGUCAAGUCCUCAUGGCCCUUAUGCCUUGGGCUACACACGUAAUACAAUGGUACACACAAAGGGAAGCGACCCGGCGACGGUGAGCAAAUCUCAAAAAGUGUGCCUCAGUUCGGAUUGGAGUCUGCAACUCGACUCCAUGAAGUUGGAAUCGCUAGUA
rnacentral:rRNA from 1 species